rnacentral:rRNA from 1 species
AUACGGAGGGUGCAAGCGUUGUUCGGAAUCACUGGGCGUAAAGCGUGUGUAGGCGGCUUUGUAAGUCGGAUGUGAAAGCCCUGGGCUUAACCCAGGAAUUGCAUUCGAUACUGCUAAGCUUGAGUAUGGGAGAGGGAAGCGGAAUUCCUGGUGUAGCGGUGAAAUGCGUAGAUAUCAGGAGGAACACCCGUGGCGAAAGCGGCUUCCUGGCCCAUAACUGACGCUGAGACACGAAAGCAUGGGGAGCAAACAGGAUUAGAUACCCUGGUAGUCCAUGCCGUAAACGAUGAGUGCUAGGUGUUGGAGGUGUUGACCCCUUCAGUGCCGACGCUAACGCAUUAAGCACUCCGCCUGGGGAGUACGGUCGCAAGAUUAAA